UCCCGUGUGGCUCAGUUGGUAGAGCACGGUCCCUGCAAUACCAAUGUGGUGGGUUCAAUUCCCACAGGGGAC
rnacentral:tRNA from 1 species